rnacentral:misc_RNA from 1 species
AUUCAAAUAAGCAUUCCAACGAUGUUAAGCUUCUUUGUCGUAAUAAUGUUCCUAACCAUGGACAUUGACAGAGAAGUUUUUAAGCUGUCAACACCAACUAGCAAAAUUACACAUCAAAUUGCUUAUUUUAAUUCUGUGCAUCACCAGUUUUCGAAAUAAACUGAUAUUUACAACCUCGGGUUUGAACGACAACACUUUGCAAUGUCUUUGCAUUCAAACUGGGUUGCGUUAACUACGGUUGACAUACCUUGGAAAAGUUUUGUCAAGGAGUCCACUGAGGUACCGAGCAAAUCUGCAAAGAAAUUUCCUGGACGACUUAAUUUUCAAGGAAUCGAGGCAAAGAAAACUUACGAAGGUAUCAUCUGCCAAAAUUUUAAACCGGAUACCUUGGCCAAACCUGACAUAGCUCCAGAACAACAGAGUAAUCUGCUCAAGUCUAGCAAUUCUCUAUUUACACAAAAAGUCAUAACGAAUGUCAGUACAAACUCAAUUUUGAAAGCAGUCGAGCAGAACGAUUUACAUUUCUUAAGGAAACAUUUGAAUUCAGAUAAUGUCAAUGUGUCGGACGAUUUCGGGUGGACACCAUUGAUGUCAGCAGCAUAUAAUGGCAAUUUUGAAAUUGUUCAAUAUCUGUUGAAACUUGGAGUGAAUAAGAAAGCAAAGGAAAAAUCUGGUUUGACAGCAGCUCAAUUAGCUCUUAAAAGAAAUCAUUUGAAUAUCGUAGCUCUACUAAGGAAGAAAAAUAGUCAGAAAGACCCUGAAGAUAUUAAAAGUAGCCCAACUUUGUCACACGAUAAGUCUGACAUUGUUUCUUUACGUGAUGAUGAACGUGGCAAAAUAACGAAAGUAGAGGGGUCAUUUAAAAACGAGCUACAAUCCAUUCAACAAAAUGCCAACAAUUUAAAAUUCGAGUUUUAUUGCGAAAUAUGUAAAACUGCUUUCAAAGAAACGUCUGUUAAACAGCAUGAGUCUUCGACACUGCACAUUUUUAAUACUAAACCAAAAUUGCGCUGUGUUGCAUAUGGGAUAGCAAAACAAAACAAAGGGUAUCAAAUGCUUUUAAAUACUGGAUGGGACGAAGAAACUGGGCUGGGACCUUCGGGGCAGGGCGCAAAGUAUCCAAUCAAGACAAUUCUUAAAAGAGAUCGUAAAGGUCUUGGCCAAGGAGAUAACAAAGAAGCUCGAAUAACUCAUUUUAAGCCAGAGGAUGUGUCUGCAGUCUCUCCAGUACGGAUAAUCCGUCCAAAGACCUUAAGGAAAAAAGAUAGAGAAAAAUUAUUAUCCAGAGAAGCUAUGAAAGAUCGAAUGAUACGAAUAGCAUUGUCUUGAAUUCGCACAUUUUCAGCUAUAAUUCAGCUGCUGCUGGCAUUGCGAUAGAUGUCUAACUAUUCAAUUGAAUUGCAAUAGCUUCCUGCAAGUUAACAAAGACUACGCAAUGAAUGACGAGCAGAAGACAUUGAAAUAUCUGGAAGAAGUUGAGGCCAAGGCUGAAGAGAUAUUGAUGGAUAGGCAGGAAAUUGUUGCACUGGAUAAACGAAGGAAUGAUGAUAGAAUGGGG